rnacentral:rRNA from 1 species
AUUGAACGCUGGCGGCAGGCCUAACACAUGCAGGUCGGACGGUAGCACAGAGGAGCUUGCUCCUCGGGUGACGAGUGGCGGACGGGUGAGUAAUGUCUGGGGAUCUGCCCGAUAGAGGGGGAUAACCACUGGAAACGGUGGCUAAUACCGCAUAACGUCGCAAGACCAAAGAGAGGGACCUUCGGGUCUUCCACUAUUGGAUGAAACCAGAUGGGAUUAGUUAGUAGGCGGGGUAACGGCCCACCAAGGCGACGAUCCCUAGUUGGUCUGAGGGGAUGACCAGCCACACUGGAACUGAGACACGGUCCAGACUCCUACGGGAGGCAGCAGUGGGGAAUAUUGCACAAUGGGCGCAAGCCUGAUGCAGCCAUGCCGCGUGUAUGAAGAAGGCCUUCGGGUUGUAAAGUACUUUCAGCGGGGAGGAAGGCGAUGUGGUUAAUAACCGCGUCGAUUGACGUUACCCGCAGAAGAAGCACCGGCUAACUCCGUGCCAGCAGCCGCCGUAA